rnacentral:misc_RNA from 1 species
AAGUCGUAACAAGGUUUCCGUAGGUGAACCUGCGGAAGGAUCAUUAAUAAGUCGUCCCACACCCUUCGUGGGUAGGAUAGACUCCACGCGUUAACAGUUCGGGUAGCCCCUUCGUGGGGAGGCCGGCUGGAUAUAAUUACGGUAGCUCCGCUGAAAUAAGCCUCUCAUAGACUUUCCUUAAGUGGUCUGUCCUCUGUUUGUCCGGGACGUAAUAAUUCGCGGUGGCGGAUAGUAAUAUCUGCCUCUGGGAGGGAUACUUAAACCCGUGUUUACCUUCUAUGUUGCUUUGGCGGGCCGCUU